UAGGGAAUCUUCCGCAAUGGACGAAAGUCUGACGGAGCGACGCCGCGUGAGCGAAGAAGGUCUUCGGAUCGUAAAGCUCUGUUGUUAGGGAAGAAGAAGUGCCGUUCGAACAGGGCGGCACGGUGACGGUACCUAACGAGAAAGCCCCGGCUAACUACGUGCCAGCAGCCGCGGUAAUACGUAGGGGGCGAGCGUUGUCCGGAAUUAUUGGGCGUAAAGCGCGCGCAGGCGGUCCCUUAAGUCUGAUGUGAAAGCCCACGGCUUAACCGUGGAGGGUCAUUGGAAACUGGGGGACUUGAGUGCAGAAGAGGAGAGCGGAAUUCCACGUGUAGCGGUGAAAUGCGUAGAGAUGUGGAGGAACACCAGUGGCGAAGGCGGCUCGCUGGUCUGUAACUGACGCUGAGGCGCGAAAGCGUGGGGAGCAAACAGG
rnacentral:rRNA from 1 species